UACAGAGGGUGCUAACGUUGUUCGGAAUCACUGGGCUUAAAGCGCACGUAGGCGGCUAGGCAAGUGCGAUGUGAAAGCCCCCGGCCCAACCGGGGAACUGCAUCGUAGACUGCCUGGCUUGAGAGCGGUAGGGGAGACUAGAACUCCUGGUGGAGCGGUGAAAUGCGUAGAUAUCGGGAGGAACACCAGUGGCGAAGGCGACUACCUGGCCUGUUCUUGACGCUGAGGCGCGAAAGCUAGGGGAGCAAACGGG
rnacentral:rRNA from 1 species